UAAAGAGGAGAUUCGCUGGGAUGGUUUCCUGGACUAGAGCGAUUCAGCUAUGAAGAGAAAGAAGGCCAAAAUAGUUUGCUGAACGUGGAAGUUGACAGUGCAAGAUUUCUCACUUGAGGAGUGCGGAGAAUGGCACCAAGAUCUCUGAGCAGACCUGCAAUUAGCUGG